GUCUCUUCGGGGACAUUGAUAAAAUUGGAACGAUAGAGAAAAAAUUAGCGUGAUCAUUGCACAAGUAUGUCACAUAUAAAUCGAGAAAUAAACCAGAUUUGA